rnacentral:rRNA from 1 species
UACAGAGGGGGCAAGCGUUGUUCGGAAUUACUGGGCGUAAAGGGCGCGUAGGUGGCCUUCUAAGUUGAACGUGAAAUCCCUGGGCUCAACCCAGGAACUGCGUCCAAGACUGGGAGGCUUGAAUCCGGGAGAGGGACGCGGAAUUCCAGGUGUAGCGGUGAAAUGCGUAGAUAUCUGGAGGAACACCGGUGGCGAAGGCGGCGUCCUGGACCAACACUGACACUGAGGAGCGAAAGCCAGGGGAGCAAACGGG